rnacentral:lncRNA from 1 species
CGGGCAGGGCUUCCCGGACUGUGGACCUGAGGUCAUUAGACCACGUGCUCCCUCCGUGAACAGGGGUACAAGGGCAAAGGCUGGAAGGCCUUUAGAGACACCUCCGUACCCCCUUAUUUAACAAAUGGGGAAACUGAAGCACACAAUGGCGAGUUGAUGUGCCCUCUCAGUGACCCCCUUACCUUUGCUAACUCAGCUCGGACUCUGGUCUCAGGAUUCUCCCUCCAGAUGCCGGCUCAGCUAUGAAACGGCCCUGAGACCCUGGCGGAGAAGCAGGAACUACAAUUCCCAGAAUCCCUUUCCCCGUGUGGUCCAGGGUUGAAGUUUGCCAGUGAAGGCGCUCUGCGGGAUGUGAAGGUGGAAGAGAUAUCAAGGCAUAUUCUUUGGAAGUAGAUGCAGCCAGACUCUGAGUGCAUGUUGCUGCCACAGCAUGGCUUGAUGAGGGUAUAAGUUGGUGCCUGGGAUCCGAACCCACGAACCUGGGGUGCUGAAGCAGAGUGCACGAAACUUCAGCCACUCAGCCACGGGGCCAGCCGUACAAACAAUCUUUGAAUGGCCAGAGGCCUUCUCUCCACCAAGAGUGAGGUGGUAAGGGCAAGAAGGGAUCAGGAAGAAUCAAAGUCCAGGGAGCGGAGGCAUUCCCGACCUUGACCGUCCCCGUGGCACACAGGAACAGAGAGGUCCACCUUGGCUUCCAGCCCUCCCUGGCAAAGGACAUCCUGGCCCACAGGUGUGCUCUGCCAGCCUCUGGUGUCACCAGCUCUCAUCCUGGUCGGAGCCUGAUGCCACCCCACACUUGGCUGCCCAGCCCCUCACUGUGUGGUGCUCAAGGCUGAGUGGCAUCCUGCUGCUGUCACGUGGCUGCCCAGCGAGAUUUCCCAUGGACUGCGGUGUGCUGGGUGGGCCGGCCCGACACUCCGUCCAGCUCGCCUGUUGGAUUGCUCAUGACAAACGGACAUGUUUUUGUGACUUUCAUAAACUGGAGCUGACUUCCUCGAGUCCAGUCAGCUCUGGGACCCCGGAAACAGAUGUUCUGGCCCUGGGAGGCUGGGGCCGAGAUAUGGAUCAUGCCCGUGAGGUCACCAAGAUAAAUGCCACCUCGUAAACUCUCUUGAUCACAAUCUUAACAGUUUCCAUUUGUCACCCAGGCUAGAAUGGGUCCGUCUCUGGUUGAACUCCUCAGGCCAGCAGAUAGAGCACUGCGGCCAGCGAGUCCCCAGGGUCCUUGUGGAGACCAAGAUGGGUCCAGGAUAAAGUUCUCACUGAAAAAGAGGGAAAUUAAGUGGCCACCUGCCUUUUUU